GAUGAAGAACGCAGCGAAAUGCGAUACUUGGUGUGAAUUGCAGAAUCCCGUGAACCAUCGAGUCUUUGAACGCAAGUUGCGCCCGAAGCCAUUAGGCCGAGGGCACGCCUGCCUGGGCGUCACACGUCGUUGCCCCCCCAUCUACUCCUUCGGGAUUGCGGGGGGCGGAUGAUGGCCUCCCGUGCGCCUCGUCGCGCGGUUGGCCUAAAUGCCAAGUCCUCGGCGACGCACGCCACGACAAUCGGUGGUUGCGAAACCUCGGUUGCCUGUCGUGUGCGGUCGUCGCGCAUCGAGGGCUCGAAAAAAUUGCCGGGCUUCGGCUCGACUUUCAACGCGACCCCAGGUCAGGCGGGGUUACCCGCUGAAUUUAAGCAUAUCAAUAAGCGGAGGA
rnacentral:misc_RNA from 1 species